UGAUCCGGUGCUUGCACCGGGGAUUAGUGGCGAACGGGUGAGUAACACGUGAGUAACCUGCCCUUAACUCUGGGAUAAGCCUGGGAAACUGGGUCUAAUACCGGAUAUGACUCCUCAUCGCAUGGUGGGGGGUGGAAAGCUUUAUUGUGGUUUUGGAUGGACUCGCGGCCUAUCAGCUUGUUGGUGAGGUAAUGGCUCACCAAGGCGACGACGGGUAGCCGGCCUGAGAGGGUGACCGGCCACACUGGGACUGAGACACGGCCCAGACUCCUACGGGAGGCAGCAGUGGGGAAUAUUGCACAAUGGGCGCAAGCCUGAUGCAGCGACGCCGCGUGAGGGAUGACGGCCUUCGGGUUGUAAACCUCUUUCAGUAGGGAAGAAGCGAAAGUGACGGUACCUG
rnacentral:rRNA from 1 species